AACAUUUUCAGGGUAAGAUGGAUAGGACAUCGCAGUUGCAAGGCUUUCAACAAAAGCCUGGAGAUACAUGAAAUAUUAUAUUGACGCUGGGAACACAGUUGAGAGCAAAGCAGAAGCACCGACCUUGAUAGAGUCUCCAUGAGGGUUUGAUACACAGUCUCUUCAGGAUCUCUGUAGAAGAAGAGAUCAGGCAUCCCCUCCCACAGGUGUUCACAGGAAAUGGUGCCACACAUGUGCAGAAGUUUCCAGGCCAGCAUCCACCACAUCAA
rnacentral:lncRNA from 1 species